UGACAUUCCAGAAGGCAGAGGGUGCUGGUGUUUUGUUGAACAUUCAGGAGUGCUGAUGCAGGGAAGACAAGGUGACAAGAAGAGCAAGCCGCUCUCAAUUACGUUUAACAGACACAACAACACGCCAUGAGCUUGUCCAAACAGCUGG
rnacentral:lncRNA from 1 species